rnacentral:rRNA from 1 species
CAGUGGGGAAUUUUCCGCAAUGGGCGAAAGCCUGACGGAGCAAUGCCGCGUGGAGGUGGAAGGCCUACGGGUCGUCAACUUCUUUUCUCGGAGAAGAAACAAUGACGGUAUCUGAGGAAUAAGCAUCGGCUAACUCUGUGCCAG